AAUAUUUCAUUUUUUGGUGGUGCUAAUGUAAAUGGUACUGAGUUUUUAAUUUCAAAUUCUGCAUGUUCAUCGUUGUUAUAUAGGAAAGCAGUUGGCAUUUGUAUAUAAACCCUGUGUCCUGCAACCUCGCUAUAAUCACUUAACAGUUCUAGGAGUUUUCUUGACUAUUCUUUUAGGUUUUCUAUAAAGAAGAUCAUGUCAUCUGAGAACAAACAUGGUUUUAUUUCUUCCUUCCAAGUCUCUGUACUUUUUAUUUCCUUUUCUUAUCAUAUUGCAUUAGAUAGAACUUCCAGAAUAAAAUUGAAAAGGAGUGGUGAGAGAGGACAUUCUUGCCUUGUAUCUGAUCUUAGUGGAAAGGUUCAAGUAUUUCAGCAUUAAAUAUGAUGUUAGCACCAAUCUUCCUGUUUUCACUUGAGGAAGAUUGGCCCCUAGCUAAUGUCUGUGCCAAUCUUCCUCUAUUUUGUAUGUGGGACACCACCACAACAUGGCUUGAUGAGCAGUGUGUAGGUCUGCACCCAGGAUCUGAACCCACGAACCCCAGGCCACUGAAACAGAGUGUCUUAACCACUUAACUGCUGCACCACUGGGCUGGUCCCAUACUUUACCAAGUGGAGGAAGUUCCCCUCUAUUCCUAGUUUGCUGAGAGUUUUUAUCAUGAAUGUGUAUCAGAUUUUGUCAAAUACUUUUUCUGCAUGUAUUGAUAUGAUUAUGUGAUUUUUCUUUUUCAGUCUGUUGAUGUGAUGGAUUAUGUUAAUUGAUUUUCAAAUGUUGAACCAGCCUUGCGCACCUGGGAUAAAUCCCACUUGGUCAUGAUGUAUUAUCCUUUUUAUACAUUGUUGGAUUUGAUUUGCUAGUAUUUUGUUGAGGAUUUUUGAAUCUAUGUUCACAAGAGAUAUUGGUCUCCUUUUUCUUUUCUUUUCUUGUAAUUUCUUUGUGUGGUUUCGGUCGUAGAGUAAUGCUGGCCUCAUAGAAUGAGUUCGGAAGUGUUCCCUCUGCUCCUAUCCUCUGAAAGAGAUUGUAAACAUGUGCUAUAAUUUCUUCCUUAAGUGUUUGGUAGAAUUUAUCAAUGAACCCAUCUGGGCUUGAUGUUUUCUCUUCAUUUUGUGUUAAUUUUUGUGUACGGAGUUAAGUAUGGGUCGAGGUAUGUAUGUGUGUGUGUGCAUCUAUAUAUGUAAAUAUGAAUAUGUGUAUAUUUAUAUGAUCAUUCCAGCAUCAUUUGUUGAAAAGACUAUUCUUUCUCAAUUGAAUUCCCUUUGAAUCUUUGUAAAAAACAAAUUGUCCAUACACGUGUGGGUCUACCUCUGGGCUCUCUAUUUUCUCCCAUAGAUCUGUCUACCUACUCGCUGAUACCAUACUGUCCUGAUUACUGUCUACAGGUAGUCUUCCACUCAGUGUUGGACAGAAGAAUUUGCUUGCCUUCACAUGGCGGAGACUGAGGCUUGAGAGUAAGAGAAGGAAGUGUGAUUUCAGAUAGCAGAGGGUUGCGUGGAAGAGAGAAAGAACCCAAGAUGUGCUAAGCACUAUGCUACGCUUUUCAUAUGUUUUCUUCUCUUUAAUCCCAUAACCCUAGGAGAAUGGUGCUUUUUAUUUUUGAGGAAGGAAGGCUAGCUCUGAGCUAACAUCUGCCACAAUCUUCCUCUUUUUGCUGAGAAAGACUGGCCCUGAGCUAACAUCUGUGCCUAUCUUCCUCUACUUUAUAUGUGGGAUGCCUGCGACAGCAUGGCUUGAUAAGCAGCACUAGGUCCGUGCUGGGUAUCCGAAGUGGCAAACCCAGGGCUGUGGAAGCGGAUCGUGAGAACUUAACUGCUACGCCACAGGGCCAGCCCCAGUGCUGUUUGUAUUAUCCUCAUUUCACAGAGGAGGAAACUGGGAAACAGACAGAUUAAGGACUUGCCUGAGGUCACACAGUAGGAAGUAGAGUUGAGGUUUAAAACCAGACUCUUGGUCUCUGGACCUUGAGCUCUUGACUGAUGAACUAAAAUUCUCUGGGUGAAUUUUCUUUCUUAAUUCUCUGCUUAGCUUGCCACAUAGCUGUGGUGGAGCUGUAAUGCGAGUCUGGGUCAGCUGGACUCCAGUGGUUGAGAAAGUGAGAAGAAUAGAUGGAGGAGGCCUCUAAGUGGAUGAGUGAUAUGGUUAAAAUAGAAGCAUGGAAGAUGAUUACCCCCCACACCCAGUGGUUCCUGACACAGAGCUCCUAAAUCCCUUGGAAUUUUCUGGGUGAUAGAAGUGUCUUUUGUUCUAAUGAGGCAAUACUUGUUUGUAGUUUACUUCAUGAUAACGUGUUGGAGGAAGAAGGGACGACACUGGAUUACAGAAGUUCUGCUUCUACGAUUUAAAAAGAUAUCCAUUUAUAAGGCCGAUUCACAGCAAGUGUAAUCAACUGCACACCAAUCAGAGCAUUUGCAGAUCAUAAGCGUCAAAUCUCAGCAACGUGGAUGCUCUUUAUUCUCCGUGCAUCAUCCAAAGGAUCUAAAUGAGAACAGAGCUGGAGUGGAGAACCAAGUCUUCAUCUGGAGAUGGCAAAUAUGGCUCAUCUUGUGGGCCAGCUGUCAUUGACUGGUAGUGAUGACAGGAGAAAGCAUGUUGAGAAGGAAUCUGAGGCCAAAUCAAGGGGUACGUUAGGCCUCAACAGAGCCAGACCAUCCAUCCGCCCUGAGCUGCCCUGCAGGGUGGAGGGUCAGCCCAUCAGCUUCUCUUCAUGAUGUGCUCAGGAGCCACUGAAGGACCACACAUCUGAACAGCAUGUGGACAGGCUCCUGCAGGGUGUGGAACACAGCAGAGCCCAUGGGCUGGUGGCAGGAGGGAGGCCCUCAUCUCUCUGCUCUUCCAAUGGAAUCUAAGAGCGGUUUCCAGUAUGGUGCACAAGGACUAGUGAGACAGCAAUUAACGUGAAGCUAUUACCCUCAUUUGGGUCUGGAGGGAAGGUGGUGCAGCCAGGAGACAACUUCAGGAGGUAAGAAACAGCCUCCGCCAGGGGGAACACUGGACAUAUGAUCUAAAGAAGAGCCUGAGGUCACCAGAUCACACAGAUGGGAAAGAGUGUCCAGGCAGAAGGACCUCAAGGAACUGGAGACACUGGUGAUGACCGAAGCCCUGAGAACAGGGGAGCGCCGUGCAGCAUGAGGCUGGUGAGGUGAGUGGGGGCCAGUCCAUGCAGAGCCCGAGCAGACCCUUGAAGGCUCUGUUGAUAAUGCUGGUGUUGGUAAUGGGGCUGGUGGCCACUUAUGGGCCGCCUCUGCAGUCCUCAGCUCUUAGAGCCUGCACUUGGCCGCCCUUUGGCAAAUAUGGCCCAACUCAUUGGACAUGCAUGUCAAUCCUGGCUGCUUGGCUACAGCAGGAAUCCCUCUAGGAAGCUGACUUGGCUCUGGGCCUUGGUUGCUUGGGUGAUAUGGAAAUGAUUUUCCUUGGGGGGCAGGAGGCAGAGACAUCCAUAGUUGGCUGUAACGGAGAUGCACACGUCUGCAGGCAUCGCUGCUGGUGUUGUUCGAAGGGCCGCUGGGUAGGGGUGAGCCAGCCCCUCAGUGACUUCUCCACCUCUGCCAUUCCAGCUCUUUCUGCCUGGCUCUGAGGCUCCCACCUACGGGAUCGGCCCUGCUCCCAGUUCCUCCUUUCUUGUGAGAAUAGACCCAAAUCUUACCACUAUGUUCACACAAUUUCUCCUUGAGAGCCACAAUGAGGAAGGCUCUGCUACUAACGCUCACUUUAUAUUGAGGUGAGACUUGCCCACUAAUAAGGGCAUCCCACCUUCAUUAGGUAUGUAUCCUGAACCAGGUGCAAUGCAGUAGACUUUGCAUCAGGAAUUAGCUCCUUUAGUCUUCCCAACAACCUAUGAGAUAGAAAAAGGGGAAGAGAAAGGGAGUCAAAAUAAACACGUGUGUAGUUUUAGUUAACAAGAAAAAAAUCAUUCAACAAAUAUAUAUUGAGCCCCUACAGCGUGCCAGGUAAAGUGGACAAUGCUGGGGAGAUACCAAUGGACACAGACGCAAAAGCCUUGUUGUCACUGGGCUUACGCUCUAGUUAGGAGAAAGAGAUCAUCAAUCAAAGAAAGAAGCGAGAUAUAAGCUAUAAUCCGAUGGUGAUAUGUGCUAACGAAGGCCACACAGGCAGAGGGAGAGUCAAGGAGGAGGGUUUGCUGUUUGCUAGACAGAGAAAGGCCCCAUGAGAUGAGACCUUUGAGCCAAGGCUGAAAGAUGGGAGGGACGGAUGAGCAAAGGCCUGAAAUGAGAGCCCGCAGGGGUGUUCAAGGAUCUGCAGGAAGCAGGGUGUGGCUCGGUGGACUGAGGGAAGGAGGCGGAGGCUGAAGUCAGAGGGGUGGGGGACGCCUUUGGAGGCCUCCAACAGGGGUUUCGGCUUUCGUCUGAUCGAGGUGAAGGCCGCUGAGGGUUUUGAGCAAAGGGGUGAUGGUGCUGACAUCGUUUUUAACGCAUCUCUGUGGCUGCCAUAUCAGGAUGAACAUAUUAAGGGAACAGGGUUGAGAAUAGACAUCAUGGGAAACAGCUGACUUCCACUUUCCUCCGCUCUUGAAUGUGCUUGACUCCGUCUUCCAGGAUUCUCUGGCAUUCAAGAAAGAGCAAGUUCAUAAAUAAAAAUGAGUCCCCGACCCGGAGCAUCGGGGGCUGCCCCCCUCCCCUCCGGCACGUGCUCCCCUUCAGGCUCCCAGCGCCUGCACACCUGGGGUGUGUUGAUAAUGCUCUUGAUUAUCUUUGUUCUCCCAGCCUCCUCUGAGUUUGUGGGGUUUUCUAUUUGCAUACCUUCCCUGAGCUUUUUAUGAUUACCGCCCCAUCUUUACAGUUUGCUCCAUUAUUUAAAUGAGUGUGAGGUAGAUGCAAAAAUGCCAGCUGGAUGAGCAGACUGCAUGGGCACUGUAAGGAAGGUGGUGUGGAGAGUGGGAGCCACAGGCCUGCCAGUCCGCCGUGGGGGUCUACACAGCUACCUGUGUGCCUGUGCAGCUCCCUGCUGCCCUGAACAGCUGCGUGCACCUGUGUCUUCAAGUUCAUGGACGCACGUGGACUUUAAAGGGCACGUUAAACCAAGGUCCACAUGACCUCUGAUUGGGAACUAAUUUGUAGAUAUACUGAUUUUUUUCCACAGACUUAAAAAGACUCAGUGAAAUAUCUGGGUUCUGCUCCUCUCUCACGUCCAAAUUUGGCCUGCCAGAGUUGUUCGUUUUCUUGUAGACACACAUAAAUGACACAUUCAUCAAAUGCCUGGAGUGGUAUUGGGUGCUUUGUCACUCCGUUCAGUCCUCCCCUAUUCUAGAGGUAGGAAUUAUUGUCUCCACGUAUCAGAGAAAAACAGCUCAGAUGCAGGGAGGCGAAGAGAAUCAGCAUUGCCAAAAUUUACAAAGCAAGUAAGUGGAGGAGGUGGGAUUCGAACCGUGAUCUCGCCUGUUCCCAAGCCCUUGGUCUGUUCCGUACCUCCUCCUUUUGGGGAGUGGGGUAGGGGAAGGUGGGCAUGUACAGGAGGGAGCUGAGGCUGUACCCUGACUUUCCCGCCUUGGUCAGCAAUGAGAGCAAAGAGGCCAGGAGAAGGAGGGGCUCGCCCACUUGUCCACCACCCCCCUCUCUGCCUUGGAAAUGAUGUGGGUGGCAGCUUUGUGAACUUUCCACACACAGGCGGGGACAGUGUUAUGCUGAAUGACAGAAUCAGGAUCAACAAGUUCUCAGUGGACUAGAAUGAGGAGUUGAAUCUAAUGCAGUGAGAUUUAAUAAGUUUAGUAAAUGUAAGAUUUCCUAAAAUCUGGGGUGUAAAAUAAUUAACCGACAAAAUGUAGGUGCAAGAGAAUCCUGGCUUAGCUGGAUGGAUAUCCGAUGAAUAUUUAGUGAACACAUAUUUUUUGCCUGACAUUAGGGUUAUAGAAAUCAACAAAUCAGGCACAAUCCUUGUCUCAUAAAGCUGAUAUUCAUGCGGGCUGAGAGAGGCAAAGCUAAGUGAACAAAAAUAGAUAGUAAGUACCAGUGUUGAUGCGUGCUGGGAUGGAAUGGGGACAGGUAGAUCAGGUGACGCGAUGGCGACAAGCAGAGGAGGUCCGUUGAGUCAGUCCUGGGGACUUUUGUAAUCAUGAAGCUCAAUGCCUGUUAAUGGUGGCCACAGCCAGGUCUCCUAAGGGGGGUGGAGCUCUCAGCAGUUUGCCUGAUAGUUUGGGAAGGAGUUGUUCAUUGUUUCAUUUAAGACGUAUUUAUUGUGCGCUAAAUGGCAGGUACUAUUCUAGGCAUUGGGGAUAGAUUGUCCUCCUGGAGUUUAUAUUCUAAUGUGAGAUAGAGACAAUAAACAAACACUCAAGUAAAUUUACAUGGAUAUUAUGAUAUAAGUACUACAAAGAAACAUUCAAUAGGAUGAGUGGAUAGAAGGUGAUGGGGCUCUGUUAGGGAGCAUGGACAGGUAAGAGCUCUCUUGGGGCAUAAUAUUUGAGCAGAGACCUGAAUGAGGCAAUGGAAUAACCAUGAGGAUAUAUGGAGAAUGGUAUCUCUCGGAAGCAAGGGCAAAGGCCCUGGGGCAUGUGAUGGGUUAGGGAUGAUCGUUCCAGGUUUAGGGCAAAGCCUCUGUCACUGAAGCAAAGGGAGCAAGACAAAGAAAGUUGGGGAGUGAGUGUGGGGAGCAGGAAGGGUGGGUCCUUUCAGGCCAGGGGGCAUGGGAGGAAGUUUGGAUUUUUCCACAAGUGAGCGGGGAAGGACCGUGCCAGGGUCUAAUGGGAGCUUUGUAAGACUCGCCCUGCUGCCGUGUGGAGCACAUGCUCUCGGGGCAAGCAGACCAGUUGUUAGGACGUAGUGAAGAGAAGGGCUCGGACUGGACGGUGGGUUGACAGCAGCAAUUCCAGUGUCCCACCCCAUGCUUCACGUGGCCCAGGGAGGCCUCAAUGGGGACACAAGCUGCUGGUUCAGGCUCUUUGAGGCUCCUAGGGCUAAAUGUUGCUUCAAGAACACCCUCCUUGGCUGAGAGAGAUCUCAGGCACUUGGCCAUGGUGACACGUUGGUCUCAGCACCUGUGGUGCUGACUAUUUAUAGCACUGCUCACCUCACACGCGCUUCUACAAAUAGAUGUAUUCAAAGCCGGCUCUUCUCCUGAUGUUCGAGUCUGCGUGAUUUCUGCUUAGUUGCCACUCCUUCUGUUCUCCUACUGGUAUCACAGGGCUCCCCAUCCCCCAAGCUGAGAAUGAAGAUAUCUGCUGAUGGAUUCCUACAAGAUACCCUGAGUGUGUCUAGGAGGCCCGAAAGGGUGGCCCACCCGGGCUGUACGUGCACCAUCUUACGCCGCUCUGCCGGGAGCUCAGCAUCCUUGUCACAUCCUUGCCCUACCCUGAGAUCCUGUUUUCCUCUGCAGGAAAACAGCUCUGCCCUGGAGGGUGUUUCUGUCCCAGGGUGAAGGGCAAGGACUUCCCCUUCUCUGCAUAGCCCCCAGUUCCCCGCUGGUCCCUCCACUGUUCUCCACGCGGAGAUGGGGAGACGACCUUCCUUUCAAUCCUCUGCCUCAUCCCUUUACUUCUGCCUGUGCCCCGUCCAUUAUGCGGGGACACUGCUGAUUGUUGAGUUCCCGGAGGAGGUGAGCAUCCUGUCAUGCCUUUCUCAGUCACCUGAGUCUCCACCAGGUGAACCCCUCCUUCAUUCAGGAGACCAACAGCCCUCCUGCACAUCAGUUCAUAAGAAGGGAUGCCUGGGGGCCGAUUGGAUUGCUCGGCCUCCAUGUCCAAUUUCACUUAAUUUCACCUAAAUCCCCCCGGCUCAGUGUCUCACUUUGGAGUCAUUCAUUAGAAGUUAACUCAGACCAUUUAGUAUUAUUGAUUAUAUUUUUACAGGUCCCUAACUAGACCACAAACACCUAGAGGGUAGGAUCUGUGUCUUAUCCAUCUUUGUAUGCCCCAGAGAGCUUAGCGCAGUGACUUAUUUAUGGUGGGUGUUCAGUAAGUGUUUGCUGAUUGACUGGCCGUGAUGCUAGCCCCAGGAGCUGAAGGGCUUCUGGGAGGGUCUACGCAAGGACCCAGUGUUUGUCUCUCUGCCUAUUCAGUUGUAACAAUAGAUCAAGGCAAGACUUCAAUUAUCCUUCACUUUCAUUCCCAAACUCUCUUCUCUGUUCAUUCUGUUGAAAAUGCCUGGUGACAGAGAGUGAGAUGCUGAGAGAGACAAAAUGCCUUCAGAGCCUUAGGAAAGCCAUGUAGCAGGAAGGACAUAUUUCAAUGAAGCUAUUUUCCACCAAGGCUAAUAUUGUGCUUCAAUCCUUCAGGCUCUAGUGAGCUCAUCAACAAUGUUUGCCUUUAAUUUUACCAUUUGUACCCAGUCAUAUGUUACCUGCUAUGUUUCUGUCUAGCUCUGUUUCAUCAAAGGGAUCUUAGAGCUUUCAUUGUCUUUGGAAAUUUGCUUAAGAUGGAUGUGCGUGGGUAUCCAUCACGUUUAAUUAUCUCCUUCAUCAUGUUCCCUCAAUCGUCUGUUAAAGGCUAAACGUUCACAUACUCAUUAAAACAUGGAAUUUUUGUGACUGAAUGGAGGAAGGAAAUUGCAUAUUGAGUUGGGGUGUGUAGAACCUUUUGCCCGAGUUCCCCCUGGAAGGACCCUUGGCCUUUCUCCGAAAGAGCACAUGGCCCAGGCCCGGGGAGCCAUGGGGGCUGUCACUUGCAGGAGAGGAGACUGCGUGUUCUCUCGGAAAGGAUUCCAUACAACAUUGUGAAAGGUUCUCAACUCUGGAAUGUGUAGUAGAAUCACGGGGGAGUAGACUCUGGCGCCCCACCCACUCCUGACCAAUUAAAUAAAAACCUCUUGGCUGGGGCUUGGAAGCUGGCAUUGAUAGAGUUUUGAAAGACGCCCUCCCCAGGUGAGUCUAACAUGCAACAGGCAGGGACAACUACUGACCCAGACCAGUGGUUUUCAAGACCAGGGGUAAUUUUGCCCCCAGCAGACAUUUGGCAAUGUCUGGAGGCAUUUUUGACUGACAUUUUGAAUUUUGGGGAGGUACUACUGGCAUCUGGUCUGUAGAGACCAGAGAUGCUGCUAAACAUCCUACAAUGCACAGAACAGCCCCCACAACAAAGAACAAUCCAGUACAAAACGUCAACAGUGCUGAGGUUGGAAAACCCUUCCCUAGAGUAUUAGAAAAGCAAAGACAUACAGACAUACACACACACACACAUACAAUUAUCUGAGUCUAGAUUUUUUUUUAAGGGAAGGAUUUGCCCUGAGCUAACAUCUGUUGCCAAUCUUCCUCUUUUUGUUUUUUCCCCUCCUCAAAGCCCUGGUACAUGGUUGUAUAUUCUAGUUGUAAGUCCUUCUAGUUCUUCUAUGUGAGCCACUGCCACAGCAUGGCAACUGACAGAUAGGUGGUGUGCUUCCAUGACUGGGAAGCAAACCCAGGCUGCCAAAACAGUGAGAGCACCGAACUCUAACCACUAGACCAUCAGGGCUGGCCCUGAGUGUAGAUUCUUUACAACUACAUUACUUGGGUUUAUAUAAUGCAUUAUGGUUCCCAAAGCAGUUUUACUGACUUGCUGGAUUUGAUCUUCACCUUGACCCUAUAAAGAAAAUAUUAUCACCAUCUCAAUUUUACAGAUCAGCAAACUGAGGCUGAGGACAGUGAAUGACCUCCCCGCAGGACCACAGGGUUUUCUGUUCCUCAGUUAAGGCUCUUUUCACUAGCAGAAAUGUCAAAUGUCUGCACAGACAUCUUCCCUGCCCCACGCUCUACUCAAAGUAACCCCUGUAACUAAUCAGUCUUCAUUCCCACUGAGCCCAAGUCAGCCUCAGAAUCCUUCUCAACACAGCACUCCAGGCAGCCCUGGUUUCUUGGGGUUGGCAUGUGAGAUAAAACAUGUUUGUCACACAGCCUCUCCAAUCUGAACACCAUACCUCUCGCUGAAUUAAGAUGAUCUUGUAGAAAAAGACACAAAGGAGAGCACUUGAGAAUAGGAGGGUCCUUGAAUGUCCGCAGGUGUUCAGACAAUCUGUUUAGAAAUUGCAAUGUUAGCAGCGUGCACUCCUGCCUGCACCAAUGAGGAAGAGACAGUCUCCCUAACCCUGAUAUUUCUUUAUAACUUUAUUAGUGUAUUUGGCUCUCACCAUAUGCCACUAAUUGAUAUAGAAAGGAAGUGCACACAGUUGUAUUCUUCAUUUGGUACAAACUAAAUAUUACGCCUCUUGAGCUUGCUAGGAUCUCCCUCUCAAGUCUAAAACAUGAGAUAAUUAUGAGAACUUAUUGAACUACGCUUCAUGAAGUGGACAAGACAGAAGUUGGAACGUGGCAACAGACUUUCCAUGAAUGGCGCCAACUGUUGCUCUGGAGUUCUGGUGCCCACUCUGGCUGCCCCUUGGAAUCACCUGGGGAGCUGGACUCUACAGACGUUUAUCUUCCUCUGCUGGGCUAGAAUCUCCCAAAGGCAAGGUCUUUUGUCUGUUUUGUUUACGGCUCCAUCUGCAGGUUCUCUAUCAGUGCCCGACACUCUAUGAAUGAAAUAUUACCUACUACGUGUCAGAACUUCGCCUGCCCUUUCAGACACAGACUCUACUCUCAUGGUUAUGUAGUCCCUCUACAGUGUCAUUGUUCUCAUUUCUAUGGAUGAGAAAACUGUGGCCAGGAGAUAACUAGUCUGCAGAAUGUUACACAGCCGGUGCCUGAAAUUUUCAAGACUCAUACAUAGCGUAUGUAGCAGCUGCUGCUGGAAUUCCACCCAUGUGCCCUCAGAGCCCCAUUGUCAUGCACUCCAGCCCAACUCCUGACAGCCUGCACAGCAUCUUUGUCAGCAGGUUGCCUGCAGGCUUCCAGAACUCACCGGCACAUGUGCACGAGGUAGACUGGAAGUACCUUGGAUUAACUGCCUCCGUCACCACUCUGCAACAGCCCUUACUCAAUGACUGACAGGUGUGGGAGUAAGGAUACCUCAGUUCCCUCACCCCUUGGCCAAGAUAAUUUCAAGGCAUGGCUUUACAUCCUUUCCAGACCUUCCUCUGAAGGUUAAGGUUCAGUCACCAGCUGCGGUAGCUGGCUUGACAACAUACACUUUCGGGGUUGACUUCUUACUUGGACUAAUUCUCCAAUUUCCUCCUGGCGUCCCUAUGGCUCCCAAACAUAAUUGUGCAUCCUCAAACCUUGAUCAGGGAAUGCUUCUGCAGAAAACCCGACUAAGAGACUACACUGGCAAUUGCAGUUUAAUUUCUUUAAAGGAGGUUGGUCGAAUUUGUAAGUGAUAUUUACAUUAUCAAAAGAGAUGUUGAAAAAUCUGCCUAUGAUCUAAUAGAUGAUUUUAGUAAAUAGAGCAUUAAGCAAAGCACAAGUAUUUGUGGCUGUUUGUAACCAGGCACAAACGUCCCUCAGACAUUAAAGAAUAUAUCAACAUCUGAGAGUAAAUCUCCUAAUCCACUUUCUAGAAACGGCUCAAAUGUUAGAGUUUCGUGGAAUCCUCUAGGGUGAAUUAGCUAUUCCAUUCUCUCUGCUCUCACAGCAUUUGAUUCAUAUUUCUGAAACAGCAUAUACCGUGCUGUAUUGUAAUUGAUCUGUUUACAUAAUACGUCUCCAAGAUUACAUUCAGAGUUCCUCAAAGGCAAAGAAUAAGUCUUGUUAGCCUUUGUCAUCCCCCCACCCUGAUCUGGCCCUGCCACACUGUUGGCUGCAAUAUUUAGUUAUUGAAAAAAAAAUGAAUGAAUAAAUGAAUGAAUUAAUAAA
ensembl:lncRNA